rnacentral:rRNA from 1 species
ACCCUUGUAGUUUUGAUGUUCUAACGUUGGCCCCUGCAUCGGGGUUACGGACAGUGCCUGGUGGGUAGUUUGACUGGGGCGGUCUCCUCCCAAAGAGUAACGGAGGAGCACGAAGGUGGGCUAAACACGGUUGGACAUCGUGUGGUUAGUGCAAUGGCAUAAGCCCGCUUGACUGCGAGAAUGACAAUUCGAGCAGGUGCGAAAGCAGGUCAUAGUGAUCCGGUGGUUCUGAAUGGAAGGGCCAUCGCUCAACGGAUAAAAGGUACUCCGGGGAUAACAGGCUGAUACCGCCCAAGAGUUCAUAUCGACGGCGGUGUUUGGCACCUCGAUGUCGGCUCAUCACAUCCUGGGGCUGAAGUCGGUCCCAAGGGUAUGGCUGUUCGCCAUUUAAAGUGGUACGCGAGCUGGGUUUAGAACGUCGUGAGACAGUUCGGUCCCUAUCUGCCGUGGGCGUUGGAAAAUUGAAAGGGGCUGCUCCUAGUACGAGAGGACCGGAGUGGACGAACCUCUGGUGUUCGGGUUGUCAUGCCAAUGGCAUUGCCCGGUAGCUAAGUUCGGAAUCGAUAACCGCUGAAAGCAUCUAAGCGGGAAGCGAGCCUUGAGAUGAGUUUUCCCUGGCGCUAUAAGCGUCCUAAAGGGUUGUCGUAGACUACGACGUUGAUAGGCAGGGUGUGUAAGUGCUGCGAGGCAUUGAGCUAACCUGUACUAAUUGCCCGUGAGGCUUAACCAUACAACACCCAAGGGGUUU